GUGGGGAAUAUUGCACAAUGGGCGAAAGCCUGAUGCAGCAACGCCGCGUGAAGGAUGAAGGUCUUCGGAUCGUAAACUUCUGUCCUAAGGGAAGAAACAAAUGACGGUACCUUUGGAGGAAGCCCCGGCUAACUACGUGCCAGCAGCCGCGGUAAUACGUAGGGGGCAAGCGUUAUCCGGAAUUAUUGGGCGUAAAGAGUGCGUAGGCGGUUUCUUAAGCGCGGGGUGAAAGGCAGUGGCUUAACCAUUGUUAGCCUUGCGAACUGGGAGACUUGAGUGCUGGAGAGGAAAGCGGAAUUCCUAGUGUAGCGGUGAAAUGCGUAGAUAUUAGGAGGAACACCAGUGGCGAAGGCGGCUUUCUGGACAGUAACUGACGCUGAGGCACGAAAGUGUGGGGAGCAAACAGG
rnacentral:rRNA from 1 species